rnacentral:lncRNA from 9 species
ACUCGGUGGCGGAGCGCACCGACUGCCGCCAGGAUGAGGAGGCUGCAGGUAGGGAAGAGCACGCAGCUGGGAUCCAGGGGGAGAGGGUUCCUGGGAGCAGCUGGGUUCCACCUGCUGCCGGGAGAGGGCGGAAGGGGGCUAGGACUUGGGUGGGUGGCCUACUGAGCGGAACUCCGCUGUGGUGUUUUCCCCUCUGAAGUUGCUAAGCCGAAGACGACUUGGGUCCCUGGUCUUUGUUGUGCUGUGUUUGGAUUCGUGUCUCCUUCCUUUGAGAGGGAGAAUGGCUUUUCCCUCCCGAAGCGGCUCCUUCCAGCUCUUGUCUCUGGCCAUGGUGCCAGCUUGCUUUGUGGGUCGCACCCUGAGGGUCCUGUGCACAAGAGCUGUUGACUUAGUUUCCUUUGUUGCCCUUGAGGGCCCUGGUGUGGUGGGACGCAACCCUCUCCUAGGCCCUUGACCCUGGAGACCAAGUUUGCCUGGUGAGUGUCAGGUGGCGGGUGAGAAGGCAGGUCUCUCCCUCUGCACGUUUGGGAUUUCUGGCCUCCCUGUCCUGGUGUGUCCUGGCGGUGUGUCCUGAGGGAAGGGGCGUUCCCAGAGUUGGAUGCCCAGACCUGGGACGUGAGGCGCAGAGAGAUCUACGUCCCCUUCCCUGGCAUUUUUUUCUUCUACAGGGGAUGUGAGGAGUUCCCUAGUGUCCUAUAGGUUAAGGGUCCAGUGUUGGAUCCCUGCUGUGGUGCAGAUUCAAGCCCUGGGCUGGGAACUUCAGCAUGCCCUGGGAGUGGUGAAAAUCAGUCAGUCGAUCAGUCAGUGGGAUUGACCUCAGACCAUUCUGCAUGGUCAUUAUCUUGGUUGUCUCCGCUCCCAAGAGGCAUUUUCACACAAACCCUGUGUGGGGAGGUAACGGUUGGAAGUGCACCCCAAAGAGCAAGAUCUCUCUAAGUAGAACUUGGAUGCUGGAGGCUCUGCUGGGCAGGUGGGGAUUGUGGGCAUUGAGGGCUUGGCCUGGGAGUCAGCUGUUGGUCAUUUCCCUGUGGUCUUCUGCAAUCAGUAUAUCACUCGUUCUCUCUGUUGUCAUGUAUUUUCCAGACUGUUGCUUUGGGAGCAAAGGAUCGUGCUUCAAAAGUCUGAGGACAAGUUUGUCCUCUGCGAGCUUGGCUAGAAUAAUUCCCCGGUGGCCACACAACAGGGUGCACCUUGCCACUGAGCCAGAUGAAGCAACGCACGCCGACGAUGUUGUGGAGGCCGGUGGGAGUGAGAAGACCGAGGCAAAGCCCCGGGCUGGGGGACAUGAGGACGAGGCGGCCCCAGUACCUGAGGUGGAGGAGGAGGAGGAGGCGGGCCGGCCCCUUGAAAAUGGCCAGGAGGAGUCCCCAGCCAUCGCCUGGGCCGAGCCGGAAGACGAGCCUGGCCCCAAGGUGGACGGGGCGGACGAUGAAAUCUCUUGGAGCUUGGAGAGUGUGUGUGAGAGCGACCUCGCUGACAGCAACCUCGCAGAAAGUGAUCGAGGUAAGAACAGCUCUCAGGUAGGAGCCAGUGGGAGAGGGUUCCCGGGACACUUGGUUAGGCCUGCUGCUUGGAGGGUGGGGCGGGUGAGUGUGCAAUUGCAAAAGAGAAAGAAAUUGGUGUAAAGAUGUUCGUCGCCUAUGUUCCUAAGGAGGGGGAGCAGGUAUGAGAUGCCCGAAUGUUGGCAUCUGUGCUCACGUUGUGUUGGCGGGCCUCAGUCCCUGGAGCAGAGGGAAGGCCUGGGCACCUGGAGGAAAAACCCGGGUGAUGCUGUGUGACCCGCCGUCACCUCGGGGAAGCCGGGGAAACGGGAGGGCCACUCCUUCUCACGCCUCGCUUCCCCGCGGUGUGUUUCUACAGACUCGGUGGCGGAGCGCACCGACUGCCGCCAGGAUGAGGAGGCUGCAGGUAGGGAAGAGCACGCAGCUGGGAUCCAGGGGGAGAGGGUUCCUGGGAGCAGCUGGGUUCCACCUGCUGCCGGGAGAGGGCGGAAGGGGCUAGGACUUGGGUGGGUGGCCUACUGAGCGGAACUCCGCUGUGGUGUUUUCCCCUCUGAAGUUGCUAAGCCGAAGACGACUUGGGUCCCUGGUCUUUGUUGUGCUGUGUUUGGAUUCGUGUCUCCUUCCUUUGAGAGGGAGAAUGGCUUUUCCCUCCCGAAGCGGCUCCUUCCAGCUCUUGUCUCUGGCCAUGGUGCCAGCUUGCUUUGUGGGUCGCACCCUGAGGGUCCUGUGCACAAGAGCUGUUGACUUAGUUUCCUUUGUUGCCCUUGAGGGCCCUGGUGUGGUGGGACGCAACCCUCUCCUAGCCCUUGACCCUGGAGACCAAGUUUGCCUGGUGAGUGUCAGGUGGCGGGUGAGAAGGCAGGUCUCUCCCUCUGCACGUUUGGGAUUUCUGGCCUCCCUGUCCUGGUGUGUCCUGGCGGUGUGUCCUGAGGGAAGGGGCGUUCCCAGAGUUGGAUGAGUUGAAGGAGACGGCCUUGGAGUAGGCGUGGUUAACGAAUCCGACCUGGAACCAUGAGAUUGCGGGUUCGAUCCCUGGCCUCCUCGCUCAGUGGGUUAAGGAUCCGGUGAUGCCGUGAGCUGUGGUGUAGGUGGCAGAUGGGGCUGGGAUCCUGCCUUGCUGUGGCUCUGGCGUAAGCCGGCAGCUACAGCGCCGAUGAGACCCUAGCCUGGGAACCUCCAUAUGCCAUGGGUGUGGCCCUAAGGAAGCGACAAGGAUGACAAGAAAAAAAAAUGGUGAAAUCAGGCACCACAGCAACAGAGAUAGCGUGCAGUUCAACACAUAGGCGGCAAGUAGACUAGGCAGACUGUCAGAGCUGGAACGGAGAGAUGGCUAAGACCUGGCAGCAGGGCUGAAGGGGGAGUCAGUCAUUCCUGCAUGGGUGCAGAGGUCCUGUGAGUCACGACGAGAAAGGUUGAGAAAGGUUGUUAGGGACAGUGGUGCAAAGUACGUAGCAUCGGGAAGGCCUGCUCUCCCUCCCCUGCCUGAGUCUCCUAUUGCCAAAGUAUUCCAAAGAGAAGUAUUACGUAUCUAAGAAGAGAAAAGAGGUGACGCAUUGGGGAGGAUGGAGCGUGAACACAGGAGCACCCUGUGGGAAGAGUAGGGAAGCGGAAAUGAUCUCCUGCCAUUUCAGCAGAUGGAGGAAUGGGCCGGAGGUGAAAAUGGGCAGGAGGACUCGGGAGGCUCUCUGGUGGCAGCAGAGCCGGCAUGCUCGUGUUGGCCAUUUCUCAGCUGGGGAAUCCGCCACGGAGAGGUUCCCUUAGCAAGAGAGGCAGAGGCUCCCUUUCUCAGGUCUUUCAGGGUGCUGUCUGCCUUCCUUCGAGACGUUUCCCCAGGAGGAUGGGCCAAGAGGAGCUCCGUCCGUGCCUCAUCCCGCCCCCGCCCCCAGCCCCAGCCCUCGACUCCCAGC